GAGGUGGAGGCUGCAGUGAGCCGAGAUUGUGUCAUUACACUCCAGCCUGGGUGACAGAGUAAGACUCCAUCUCAAAACAAACAAACAAAAACAAAAAACCCACAUUAAGUAGGUUUUUCAAAGUCACGUUAAAUUUUAAUCUGAACCUCUAUUGCCUGUUAAGCCGCUUUCUCAUUACAACAGACUUUUAGAAACUUUUAUUCUGUGAUACUUUCGUCAGUAGAGGUGUUUCCUUUUAGCCAAUUCUAGCCACAAUAUUGACUGGACCCAGGCAUUUGAUACACCCAGAAGGAAUUAACCAGGCAGGAGAAAACUUGGUCCCUACUGGAAUGAAUAUUUUAAAGACCAUCUUAGAUUCUGAAAACUUUGUACUAGAAGAGUGUUUCCAUAUGUGUCACUUGAGGAAUCUGCACCUUCUGGCUCACUGCACUUCACAGCCCAGCGUAUCACUGAGAAUUCAGAAAUCUUACUCUUUACCCAGGGAUGAACACAUCCUUAUGAGUUCAGGUGCACUAAAUACAUAGGAACACCCAGAGAAAAUGAGCAUAAAACAAUGGUUCUUUUUAUUUUGGAAGUUUCAGACAAACUCUUUGGAAAAUCUGAAGAAAUCUAUGGAUCCUUUUCCUGGGAAGACUGCACAGACAUACAUAUUCGUGUGGUUUCUGUGGGUGUAGGGACUGGCCCUGGUCACGUGUCAGGAAGCCCCGAUCCAGAAGAUGGUCUUCAUUUUACCUUGGCUGGCGAUCUGACUCUGUUCUCGCGCCUAUCCGUGAUUGAUUCUCUGUCGCCUUGGAAUGGAGUGUCAGGUCUUGAAGGUUGCUCACUGCCUUUCCAAGCAUAGAACUGAGCCACACGGCAAGAGCUUCCUAAUGAAAUGGACAGAAACUCUCUGCAAAGGGCUGCCCCAGAAGCACAGGUGAUAGAAAUAGAGUCCAAGGCACUAAGGCGUGCUGAGCCACAGUCCUCCUAGGUGAUGCCUCCUGCUGGCUUAGUGGGUUUAUUUCGUAAGUUGAGUACUAUUGUCCUGUUUUUAAAAUGAACAUAUUUCUUCUAACAUUUCUAACAGUUAUGAAGGUUUUCUCCCUAAGUGUGACUUUUUCUUAUGUCUUGGGGUAUCAGAUUUACGGCGUAACGUGUACUUCAAAUUAUAGCAGUGACUGGAAAUUUAGGAUUCUUUUGUUUCAUAACACUUAAAUCUGCAGCACAUUUUCAGGAAAAUGGGCAAGUUUCACAGAUAAUUCCUUCCUUAUUCCUUUCAGAUUUUACAAUUGUAUGGUUAUUUCUGAAUUUGGUUAAUUUGUUUAUAAGUGUAGUGGACAUUUAACAGAACAGAUGCACCCGGUUAUCUGAUUGGAAACAUGUUUCAACACAAGGGUCUCUUUGCAUGGUUCCAAUCUCUGUUUUGGGAUCUGGGAUUCUCCACCUGCUACAUCGUUCGCUGGAACUUUCCUGCAAAAUACAGCCUCACUGAGAGGCACAUCAUGGAAGAAUGAAGCAGCCUGAAGAAACUCUAAUGUUGGGACAAGUGGAGAGAUGGAAGAGCACCAUCAGAGGGUGCCGCCGCACAUUUGGGAGGCAUCCCAGGCGCAUGGCUCUUUGUACAUGAGACAGGAUACCACUGUCUUUUAUGCAUUGGACUGGUAACCAGAUAAAAUAACCUUGUAAAACAGACCUUUUAUGUAAGAAAAAUAGAACUCUCACCUCGCAAACAUUGCUGUCUGUUGCGGAUGAACCCAGCAGCAGGAGGGGAGCCAAGUCAGUCCACUUGGCCUGAAAGUUAACGUCAUGUAUUCAGAUGUGAAGGGGUUUCUGUGCAUGCUUUUGAAGUAUUGUGUUUGGGCUUUUACAACGUGUGCCUCACUGUUUCACAUCUACAGAGAGAGUGCCCCUGCAAGAGGAACCUGAGUGGAUCCAUGCCCACAUCUGCAUUCUCUGUCCUCACUACUACUCCCUGCUGGUUGAUACAAAUGUGGGGAUAAUGUCGAGCACAAAGGAGUCUAAAAUUGAUUAGGGCUGGGUGUGGUGGCUCACGCCUGUAAUCCUAGCACUUUGGGAGGCCAGGGCAGGAGGACUGCCCAAGACCAGGAGUUCAAGACUAGCCUGGUCAACAUAGCAAGACCCUGUCUCUACAAGAAAUUAAAAAAUUAGCUGGGCGUGGUGGUGCGUACUUGUAGUCCCAGCUGUUUGGGAGGCUGAGGCUGGAGGAUCGCUUGAGCACAGGUGUUUGAGGCUGCAGGGAGCUAUGAUCAUGCCAUUGCACUUCAUCCCAGGUGAUGGAGUAAGACCCUAUCUCUUAUUAAAAAAAAAAAAAAAAAUUGGAAUCCUGUUUAUCCAUGUUGCUUUUCUUUGCCAAGUAA